UACGAAGGGGGCUAGCGUUGCUCGGAAUCACUGGGCGUAAAGCGCACGUAGGCGGCUUUUUAAGUCAGGGGUGAAAUCCUGGAGCUCAACUCCAGAACUGCCUUUGAUACUGAGAAGCUUGAGUCCGGGAGAGGUGAGUGGAACUGCGAGUGUAGAGGUGAAAUUCGUAGAUAUUCGCAAGAACACCAGUGGCGAAGGCGGCUCACUGGCCCGGUACUGACGCUGAGGCGCGAAAGCUGGGGGAGCGAACGGG
rnacentral:rRNA from 1 species